rnacentral:misc_RNA from 1 species
AAGUCGUAACAAGGUUUCCGUAGGUGAACCUGCGGAAGGAUCAUUAAAAAAUCGUUUGAGCCGCAAGGCUCUAUUAUUUUGUGCAACGUAUGUGUUGUUGUGUGUGGGGUGGAGUGGGGGUGCGCUCUGAAAGGAGCGUGCUCUCGCGCCGGCCUGCUCCGCUACUACACCUUAUUAAACUUAUGUCUUUGAUGCUGAGGAAAUAUAUCUAUAAUAUAUAUACAACUUUCAACAGUGGAUCUCUCGGCUCUU